CUGGGGGCUGUUAGCCUCAGGCUGCUGCGCACUGGGGAGGCUGUCCCGCGGCCUGCGCGCUCGGGGAUUCUCCAGACCCACCGCUGGCUCGGGAGCGCUCCCUACUUUUGGGUUCCCCGAAAGCCAUGUGCUUCAUACUUAAGGGUCCCUUAGCUUGGGAAUCGGGGACUUGGUGAACAAAUUCAUGCUUACCCAGCUACACCCGGCAUGAUUUUGAAAAGCCCAUCGUUUUGCCGACCGAUUUGCGGUCUCCAAAUUAAGUAUCUAACACUUUGGUGAUUAACUUGCCCUAAAAGGUUUUUUUUUUUUUUUUUUUCUUUUUUUUUUUUUUGGACAGGCUCUCGCUUUGUCGCCCAGGCUGGGGUGCCGCGGCGGAAUCUCGGCUCACUGCAGCCUCGACCCUCCCGGGCUCAGGUGAUCCUCCCGCCUCAGCUUUCCCAGUAGCUGGGACGAGCGUGGGCAGAGGACCACAGGCGCGGACACCACACCUGUCUAGUUUUUGUAUUUAUUUGUAGAGUCGGGGUUUCACCAUGUUGCCCAGGCUGGAAAAGCCAGUUUCUACAUGGGAAUUUUCGGAUAUUUUGGCCAAGGCCAGCUGUGGGAACCUUGGAGGCAUUGGGGUUCCUUCGACCUGGCUUCCCUGCCUAGUCCAUGUCCUCUUCCUCUUUGUCUCUGGCGCCUCCCAUGAUUGGGCCGCCUCCUGCCUAGACUCAUAGCCAGGCCCUCGGAAUAAUCUGAAAGCUCCUUGCCGUGUAAAGAAACGAUGGAACUACCUCCGCUUCCUGGUCUUUAGGGAAACGCAACUUGCUCAGGAGCAGGGGUUUUCAGACUGCGGCCUGGGACCCCCUUAAGAGCGUGUGAAAUCAACAUAAAGCGUCUUGCCUGGCAUUACAAAGCGGGGGAAGUGGAAGGAAACUAGCAGCCACGUGGCGCGGGCCCCAGCGGUGGUGACCGGGUGUGUGCCUGGUCCUGUGGUAGCUGUUGCGCAGCCUGGGGGCGCGCCCCCGGCCCAGGCUUUCCUACAGCUGCAGCCUGGACUGGCGGGGAGGAAUCCGGAAGCAGGAAGAGCGACAAAGUCUCACUCUUGGUCCCCCAGGCUCGAGGGCAAUGGCACAAUCUCUGCUCACUGCAACCUGCUCACUGCAACCUCUACCUCCUGGGUUCAAGCGAUUCUCCUGCCUUAGCCUCCCGAGUAGCUGGGAUUACAGGCACCCACCACUACGCCCGGCUAAUUUUUGUAUUUUUAGUAGAGACGGGGUUUCACCAUGUUGGCCAGGCUGGUCUCGAACCCGUGACCUCAGGUGAUCCGCCCGCCUCGGCCUCCCAAAGUGCUGGGAUUACAGGCGUGAGCCACGGCGCCCGGCCAGCUCUGACAUUCUUUGUCCUUUGUUUUGGGGACCUUCAUUUACCCCCAUUUCUCCAGUGAACCUGCUCCAAAGCCCCUCCCUGGGUCUGGGCAUCACUGGGAACCACUGUUUCCCGUCAGGCCCCAUCUUUAAUGUCCCUUCUUCCUUCCACAACUUCUUGUCUUUCCAGCUCUCCCCCCUCGGUUAAUAAACAGGACAUUUUUGUCCUGUCUCCAGGUGACAUUCCACAGUUACCCACCAGGUGCGAACUCUGUAAUGGUUUCUACCAUCAACACGCCAGCCCCUGGCUGUUCCUUCUCUCUUCUCAGACUCAUGCCCCUCUCCCUGGCACAUCACGGAGCUCUUGGAGGUGGGUCUUUGCCCCCAGGAAAUCUUGUCCAGCACUCUCACUAAUAGAACUUGUGUGCAGAUGACUCACGGAAGAGCCCGGCCAGGACUCAGCUCCAGACCUGGAUGCUGAGCCUCAUGAGCUUCCCCCCUGUCUCCAGCCCUCUUUGAGGGCUCGUUAGCCAGGUCACUGACUAUCCCACCUUAAAGAACCCCAAGCAUCCCCACAACGGAUCUGGCACUGAGUCCUGCCACUUCUGCCUCCUAAGUACCUCUUGAACCCAGCCACUUCCCUCCACCUUCAUCCCCCGCUUCCACACAACCGUCAGCUCACCUGGAAGGCCUCCAUAACCACCUAACUGCUCCCUGCAUAUGGUCUGGUCUGUCUCCAAACUGUAGCCAGGGUGAGCUUUGAGAACACAGACCUGGCCCUAUCUAUUCCCUCCUCCCCACCCUCUGCAAAUUCUAGCUGACUUCCCAUCCUUCU
rnacentral:lncRNA from 10 species